AUCAAAACGCGUUUCGCUGUGCGGGCGCUCGCUUGUGUGUCAAAGUUGAACCUUGCGAUAUUUUUGUGUAUUUGUGUUUUUACAAAAUGCCUUUUAUUUCGAAGGACUGGCGAUCGCCAGGUGAAGAGUGGGUUAAAACGCAAGAGGGCUGGGAGAAAAAGAAGGUUUUGGAGUGCACAGCGCAAAGAUAUCCCGCUAUUAACUAUAAUAACCCUGAUGAUAGUCCGCAAAAGUCGUGGUCUGAAGGGGAAGACGGCGAUAAGAAUACAGAUGCGGUUGCAAGAGUUCCUCCACACUGCCAUAUCACAAUAAAGUGCACAAGAGAGAUUGCAGGCUUCAACGGGCUGUCAGAAGCGGUCCGCCGCCUGGACUUCUCGUCAGCCGUCCGUGACGUCAGAAGGUUCAAUUAUAUCUGCGCUCUGUUGGAGCUGUUGCUUGGUGGUCAACGACUGACGCAUCUACCCGGCGCUGCGCAGAAACUGCUGUUGUCUAUGUUGGAGCAGCUCGCUGACCAAGUGGCGACAUCGAAACAGAACCUGAACGCGCUACGAGCGUUGCUGGUAGCGUUGUCAUCGUUACGCGAGUCUGAGCGCCGCGCGUGCUGGGGCCGGCCGCUGGGCUCGCGCGCGCUUUGGGGCCAUCACGACCACGCCAUCGCCCGGAUCAACCGCAUCGCCAGCGAGAUUAUCAUACAAGAGCCGGGGCCAGAAGUAGUACCGAAGCUUCACGAUUUACCUGAAGAAUGCAUUAGAGAGAUACUGUUAAGGAUAGCGGACCACAGGGAUUUAGACUCGGCGUCAUCAGCAUGGAGCGUGAUGGCGUCAGUGUGCAGUGAGCAGCGGAUCUGGCGCGAGCUGGUCAGCUUCCACUUCAGCCAGCAGCAGCUAGACGGCGUGCUCAAGAAUAAAGAGGAAGACAUUGACUGGAAGAAAGUCUUCCACCAGCUUAGGAAGCUGUAUGGACUAAGGGAAGACACCCAGUUUGCAGAGACGCUGUCGCUCUGUCGUCACUGCAAGUGCUUGUUCUGGCGGUCGCUCGGACACCCGUGUAUAGCUGAUCAGUGUCCUGAAUAUCGUGAGCGACUGAAAGAAGCGGGCGGUCCGCUGCCUCCACACCCUGUACCACCUGCGGCAUUCCUCAAGUUCUUCUCGCUCUAAUACUUCCAUACCACGAGGUGGCAACUAUGUAUGACUGUCAUCUCAGCCACUAGGUUGAGGCAACUAUGUAUGACUAUCAUCUGAGCCACUAGAUUGAGGCAAUUAUGUAUGACUAUCAUCUGAGCCACUGGAUUGAGGCCACUAUGUAUGACUAUCAUCUGAGCCAGCAUCUCAUUAUCUGCUUGAACUGGCCUUAUGUUGCAAGUCCAUUUGAGUAGAAUCGUAAGGGACACGAUAUUACGAAGAUGGGCCUUACGAAGAGACGGUAAUAAGUGUCAAAAAAACUUCCAUCUCAGAUUUUCUGAAUCAUUACAAAGAAAGAAAUUCUGAGGCUCUCUCCAUUAUGAAUUCACAUAAAUGGUCAUAAAACCAAUGGCACCUUAUACAAUUCCACAUACAUCGGUCUCGUAAUAUAAGACAGUUUGCAAGGCAUAAGACCGUCUUAAUUAAAAAAGAUGAUUGAUACUGUAUGAAAAAAAAUAUAAAGUAAGAAGCAAAAUGGAUUAUUGCAGGUAUGUAUUGUUUCAAAUCUAGAAUGUUCUACUCGAAACAAAUGCGUGUAAAGUAGGUAUUUGACUAAUAUUCAACUUUAGAACGACUAUUUUAAAUUAAACAGUGAUAUUAACGUUUUGGGAAUCACAAAUGGUUUCGAAAAGUUGCAGCCUGGCAAAUAUGUGUAAAAAGUUCUACUUGGCAACAUUUUUAGCCUCUGCAUUGGUCAACAUAGAGAUUUAAAUCUAUGAGAUUGAUUAUAAACCAGUGUUACCAGCAAAACAACUGUUAUUAUUUAAUUUCUACUCUUUUCGGCCAAACCGUAAACGGCAUGGUUUAAAGAUAUGAAGUACAUGACUAUAUAACAAACGAUGACUUUCGAUUCUAAUAGAAUCUUGGUGACUGAAUAAGAUCUCAGGCAGAUGGCCUAUAUGAAAAACCUACUAUAAUCAUUAUAGGGUAACUAUAACAUAAAUUACUAAUCAAAUGUGUUCUCUUAAAAAUCUAUUGAUUAUAGUUAACAUAAUUUUGACAUAAUUUUGCUUGCUAAAUGUGUCGUUUUUCUUAUCAAACGCAGUAUUGUAAUGUAGACCAAUAAACCAGUUAAAUCUACCAUAAAAAGGUACAUUUUUGUGUAAACCAAAAAUAAUCCAGUUUGAAUAAAAUCUAAUUUAGACGUAAGCAUUUAGUUUCUAAGGUUUGUUUUGUUCACCUAUUUUUGUUUGCGCACUAAUGCUUAAUAUUAUAAUAUUAAUGCUUUAAAAGAACUAUGUGAUAUUUCCAAAAUUUCUAUUAAAAUUUAAGUGUGUUGUAAGCAAUCGGUAUUGUUCUUGAGUGUUGUUAUGUUUCAUUAAUAUUAUUUACUAUUUUAAUUUAUAAAUCACAUGAUAGGAUUUAGUAGAACCAGUACAGUACAUAGCAGACGGAAAUUUCAUGGUUAAUCUAAUAUGCCUACAGCCCACCUUACCAUUGAAAAAUAUGCGAACAGUGGACCUGUGUAACCAAUUAUUAAAUGAUUCGAUUGAACUUUUCUUGGCUGCUAAAUACUUAAAACACACACUCACAACUUGUUUAUUUUUUAUUGGUAAGGUUGUGUAUAUUUGUCACACCAUAAUUACAAGAAACUCCAUUAUCUGUCGGAUUUAAAGGUACAAAUAGACGAUCGAACCUAUGCGGACCGCACCACGAACUCGAUAAUGCGGUGCGGUGCGGUCGUUCCCGCCACACGACCGAUUGCCUCAUAUAACAUGCGUCCGAUUAACAAUACAAGCUAAAAUCGCAUUAUUUGCAGCUACCACCCUUCCUACAACACCAUUACCACGACAAGUAAAAAGGAAAAAUAGCGAUUUCGGUGAGGUGUGUCCUCCACACGACCGUACAUGUCCAGUAUCGGACUCGGCUCGUGGUGCGGCCCGCACGGAUUCGAUUGUCUGUUACCACUAUAAGUUUCAUUCAUUAGAAAUAAGAAAAAAUUUCAUCAUGUUUAACACCUCAGUUCUUAACAUACUUACUACUUUUGUUAACAGUACAUCAACUAAACUCGUAUCAAACAUUUCACUAAUAUGUUCAUUUUUUUUUAAUAGUUGUAAGAUUUCAAGUUCUUUGGCAAAGGGAGCAUGUUGUAAAAUCCACAUAUAAUAACGCAGGCCCUGCAUGUCUCGAAGAAUAUGAUUAAUUUAGGUGUAUGUUGCUGUCAUAGUCAUAGGCUCUUGAAUGCUUGCGUGAAGCAAUGUAUAGAUAAUUGGGUAGUUUCCUAGGUCAAAGAUAAAUUAUGCAAUUCUGAUUACUAAAUAAAGAUAGAUCUAAAUGUAUUCUUUUUUCUAUUUAACUUAUUUAUGAAUUUUAAUAAAGAAAAAAGGAUAAAAAUAAUAGUAAAAAAGUAACUAAUUGAACUAGUUGGAAACUACCCUGUUAUGGUUUUCAGAAGAAAUGUAGGGCCUUUUCUAUUCAAACAAUGAUAAAAAAGCUAUUAAAUUGACUGACAUUAAAGAUUAUAUUGAAACAAGCCCCUAAAUGCAAUCAUAAUUUAAGACUAUUCGUCGCAUAAUUCAGAAAAUUUACUAUAAAAAAAAUGCAGCUAGUUAAGAUAAAAAGCAAUAUUUUAAUACAAAACUAUUGAUAAGAGUUAUUCUUGAAGCUUAUUUCAUAUGAGAACUGUUGUGUAAGAUAUCCUUUUAGGCCUAAAGAGUUUUAGUUGAUUGUUAACUGCUAUCCGUCACAGUAACAAUAGGAAAGGCUGUGGCUACAUUUACCAGUAUCAGAUAUGAGAGAAAUAGUUGGAUUUGCAAGAAUAUUAAUAUAAAUAACUUUGAUAUUCUUAUGAGAGGCCACAGUUUAAAAUAAUAUAAAAAGAGAAGCACUAAAAGCUUACUAUUGAGCAGGCUCUUUCUUUUUAUAUCUAACAGUAUUAAGAUAACUUUUAAAUUAAGGGUAGGCUGAAUAAUUAUAGUUUUACAAUUGUUAGUAGAAUAUCAAAGUUCUGAAGGAGUUCAGAAAGCUAUGAACUGCUUUGCAAUAAUUUUGAAUUUAGAAUUCAAAGUGUAGCCACAGCAAAAAAAUAUUUCUAAAAUUAAUUCAAGUCUGAUGGUUCAUUCUAUGGUCAAAAUGUUCAUUGUAUUGUACUUGUAGUGUAGUUGUUGAUAUUGUGAUAUUUUAAGAUAAAUAUUAUGAAUUGUUUAGUCCCAAGAUGCUAACUUUGACAACUUUUGGAAGAACUGUAGGACUGAAUAUGGGUAUCAUCACAUUUACAAUAUAUUAGUUACAUAACAUAAACAGCCUAUUAUGUCCCACUGUUGGGCACAGGCCUCCCCUCAUACAACCAGAGGGGGUAUAACAUAUUAGUAACAAAAUUUAAUUGAUCUACUUAUGGAUCAAAAUGGAAGGUAGGUAUUUUUUCCUACCAAGGAGAAACAUUCAUAUCUUCCAUUUUGAUUUUGAAAAUCAUAGUAGGUUUUAGAUGGAAUUACAUAAGGUAGACUUGAAGAAUAUUUGUGUAGCUCUAGCAUCUGUCGGUAUUAAAACUAUGAUGAAUUGUGCAUCACAUACACAAUAGGUUCAUAGUUCACAAAGGGAUUGGUUCUUCCCAGAGUUGUAGUUUAGAUGAAAUGCAGCUUACCUACUCACUUUUAAGUCAUUUUUAGUUAAUCUGUGAUGAAUUUUGUUUGCAUUGGAAUUGUUUUCUGACUUGUGUUCUCACUAUUAGUACUUUAUAUGGUAUUUUGAAAUAAAGUUAUUUUGAAUAAGA
rnacentral:misc_RNA from 1 species